rnacentral:lncRNA from 1 species
UGGUCCUCUCCGCCUCACCCCCCCCUCGCCAGAUCCAUCCCCGCCGAGCGCCGCCAUGGGCUCGCUCCGGUGAAGCUCGCGACCACCGGCCACUUCUCCCUCACCGUUGCGUCCACGACGACCGCCAUCGCCCGCUGCGUCCACUACGGAGACGAAGACCUGCCGGAACCCCCACCUUCGCCGGAUUCGCGUCGCCCUCGUCCGCUUCGGUCAUCGACCAUCUCCGUCAACUCCGACCGCCCCGCAGCUACUAAUCCGUCACCGGGCCCCCAUGCGCCCACACGGUGAGCUCCCGCGCCCCGCUCCCCUUUUCCUUCAUUGCCGUAGGCCGCGUCCCGCCUCCCCUAUCCGGAGCUGCACCGUCGCGCCCGAGCAUGCGCUUGGCCCGGCUCUGGCCGUCCUUGGUCGCUCCCACGCGCAACUGGCCCCUCCCCGCGCCCCCAUGCAUGCUUCUGCUGCCGCCCCUGUUGAANNNNNNNNNNUGUGAUGCCCGGAUAAUUAAGCUACAGUGAUCCCUCGCUAAGGAUGCCACGUCACCUCGGUUAGUGUGGAUAAACUCGUGUCUGUUUGAAACCCAGUUAAAAUUUAAAACAAAGGCAAGCAAAUAAAAGUUUUCAAAUAUUAAAACCAAAUUGUUAUGGUAGUGGCAAAUAAUGCAUAAGUAGUAAUGGUGGAGAAACCAACAUCUUUAAAAGUGUUUGAAUGCUCUAAAAUAAAUAAAACAACAGCAAACGAAUUAAUUGAAUGCCUUUUAUAAUUAUUAAAAUGUUAAACUAUUUUAAUUGGAGGUCUAAACUUUUUGUAGUAGAGGUAUAAUUAGUGGUACUAAUUUAGGUGCAACCUUUAUGAUUUAUAAAACUAAAAUAAAAUGAAACAAAAGGGUAAUAAUAAAUAAUGGGAAAAAAGACAGCAGUAAACAAAAAGAAAAGACUAAACAGAAUUUUUUUAAAAAAAGAGAGAGAGAGAGCACCCCUCGGGCCUGGCCAUUCGAACCGGCCCAACUAAGCCGGCCCACUCCCCCUCCCCGGUCGCUUCCUGUUCAACCGACCGGGCAGGACCGUGCGCGCCCGUCGCCGUCCAGCCACCUCGUCGGCGACGCCCGACGAGGGGAUAAGAGCUGCGCUGGACCUCCCCGCUCGCCAAAAUAUCUACCACUNNNNNNNNNNNNNNNNNNNNNNNNNNNNNNNNNNNNNNNNNNNNNNNNNNNNNNNNNNNNNNNNNNNNNNNNNNNNNNNNNNNNNNNNNNNNNNNNNNNNNNNNNNNNNNNNNNNNNNNNNNNNNNNNNNNNNNNNNNNNNNNNNNNNNNNNNNNNNNNNNNNNNNNNNNNNNNNNNNNNNNNNNCCCCCUCGCCAGAUCCAUCCCCGCCGAGCGCCGCCAUGGGCUCGCUCCGGUGAAGCUCGCGACCACCGGCCACUUCUCCCUCACCGUUGCGUCCACGACGACCGCCAUCGCCCGCUGCGUCCACUACGGAGACGAAGACCUGCCGGAACCCCCACCUUCGCCGGAUUCGCGUCGCCCUCGUCCGCUUCGGUCAUCGACCAUCUCCGUCAACUCCGACCGCCCCGCAGCUACUAAUCCGUCACCGGGCCCCCAUGCGCCCACACGGUGAGCUCCCGCGCCCCGCUCCCCUUUUCCUUCAUUGCCGUAGGCCGCGUCCCGCCUCCCCUAUCCGGAGCUGCACCGUCGCGCCCGAGCAUGCGCUUGGCCCGGCUCUGGCCGUCCUUGGUCGCUCCCACGCGCAACUGGCCCCUCCCCGCGCCCCCAUGCAUGCUUCUGCUGCCGCCCCUGUUGAAUUGUUGCUGCGCGCCCGCCUCGCCGCUGCGUUGGCCGCUGCCGACUGCCGCCCGGCCUCGCAGCCACCGUCUGCUGCGUCGUCCGCCGUGACCCCCGCCAUGCCCGCGCGCCUCCGUGUCUGCCCGCCUGCGCGUGGCCUCGCCCCCGUGCGUGCUCCCGCGUGCCCCCUGGUCGCCCUGCCCCUGCGUGCCUGAGCUCCGGCCCUGCACAACGCGCGCCCGCGCCCAGUCGCGUUGUCCCGCUGCCUACUACCUUUACUGCUGAUGCCGCUGAAACUCUGCUGUUGUUACUUGCUUCCUACUGCUGCUUCUUGUUACUACUACGGAUGCAUAGCUGCUGCCGUCGCUGCUAUUCCUUAACUUCUGCCGCUGCGUUCGCUGCUCUGCUGCCGCUGCUACAGUAACUGAAUGUUACUGUAGCGCUGGCUAGCUUUUGCUAUUUCCAUCUUCUUAGCUCUCUGGAUGGCAACAAAACUAUGGUCAAACCAAGUCUAACUUCGUUGAAAUUAAUUUGUGUUGGGAGUACACAUAGCAACCUCCAAAUUAUUUCAUUGGACCAAAUUCAAAUAUGGCAUGGAUUAAAUUCUAUAAAAAUCGCAAAAUGCUUUGUUGGAACAAAAGUAACCCCUAGCUAUGUGUGUUGCGUGUGUGUACGCAGCCACGGCUGGCUAUGCCACCGGCCGGUCCAUGGUUUAAUUAGGCUAGGAUUAAUUAGGGCUAGUUUAGGUAGGAUGUAAUUUAGUGCUAAUUAGUCUAUAUAAACAAUGCCAUGUGGCCCCCUAGUUUAAAUUAAUUUAGCCUAAGUAAUCUACACCUAUGUCCAUGACAUGUGGGCCACCAUCUCUCCUUUUGACUAGUCACAUUGACUUGGUCAAUUUGAAUUUAAAUUAAACACAAAAUUCUAGAAUAUUGAUAAAACUUUGAAAAAUUAUAAAAAAUUAGCCGUAACUCCGAUGGAAAAACUUUGUACAUGAAAGUUGCUCAGAACGACGAGACGAAUCCAGAUACGCGGCCCGUUCGUCCGCCAUGCAUCCCUAGCAUAGGGAACCUGCAACAUUUCACCUCCGGUUCAUUUGUCCGGAAUCGUGAAACACCGGGAAUACUUUCCCGGAUAUUUCCCCUCUUCGCCGGUAUCGCCUAUCUUUACGUUAGGUCACCCCAAGCACAACGUAUUGCCGUGUCUUGCUUUGUGUUACAUUUGAUUGCUCUGUUAUUUAUUGUGUUCCCCCUCCGUUACUCCUUUCCGGUAGACUUCGAGACCGUUGCCGAUGUUCGUGUGUUUGACUACAUCGAAGAUGGCCCCUCCUUGCCAGAGCAACCAGGCAAGCCCCCCCUUUGAUCACCAGAUAUCGCCUACUCUUCUCUAUACUGCUUGCAUUAGAGUAGCGUAGCAUGUUACUGCUUCCCGUUAAUCCUAUACUGAUGCAUAGCCUGUCCUUGCUACUACUGUUGUUACCUUUACCUGCAAUCCUAUUGCUUAGUAUAGGAUGCUAGUUUAUCAUCAGUGGCCCUACAUCCUUGUCCGUCUGCCAUGCUAUACUAUCGGGCCGUGAUCACUCGGGAGUUGAUCACGGGUAUAUACUAUAUACUUUAUACAUGAUACAUGUGGUGACUAAAGACGGGUCGGCUUGAGGAGCACCCGCGAGUGGAGUUUUGAGGCGGAGCGGCAGGGCAGGUUCCGACCACCUAGGAGAGAGGUGGGCCUGGCCCUGGUCGGCGUUCGCGGAUACUUAACACGCUUAACGAGAUCUGGGUAUUUGAUCUAAGUCUAGCCAUUUGGUCUAUACGCACUAACCAUCUACGCGGGAGUAGUUAUGGGUAUCCCGGCGUCGUGGUAUCAGCCGAAGCCUUCGUGACGUCAGCGACUGAGUGGCGCGCGCCGGAUUGGACUGGGAGGCCACUAGGCUAGGUCUGCUUUCGGCCGCGUUCGCAACGUGCAGGUGUGCUAAGGGCGAUGGGCCCAGACCCCUGGGCGCUUAGGUUUAGACCGGCAUGCUGACCUCUCUGUUGGUCUAGGUGGGGCUGCGACGUGUUGAUCUUCCGAGGCCGGGCAUGACCCAGGAAAGUGUGUCCGGCCAAAUGGGAUCGAGCGUGUUGGGGUAUGUGGUGCACCCCUGCAGGGAAGUUAAUCUAUUCGAAUAGCCGUGAUCUUCGGUAACAGGACGAUUUGGAGUUGUACCUUGACCUUAUGACAACUAGAACCGGAUACUAAAUAAAACACACCCUUCCAAGUGCUAGAUACAACCGGUGAUCGCUCUCUCUCAGGGCGACGAGGGGAGGAUCAUCGGUUAGGAUUAUGCUAUGCGAUGCUACUUGGAGGACUUCAGUCUACUCUCUUCUAAAUGAUGCAAGACGGAGGCUGCCAGAAGCGUAGACUUCGAAAGGACUAGUUAUCCCCCUCUUAUUCUGGCAUUCUGCAGUUCAGUCCACAUAUGAUACCCUUAUUCCAUUUGAUGCCCAUGCAUAUGUAGUGUAGCUCCUUGCUUGCGAGUACUUUGGAUGAGUACUCACGGUUGCUUUCUCCCUCUUUUCCCCCUUUCCCUUCUACCUGGUUGUCGCAACCAGAUGUUGGAGCCCAGGAGCCAGACGCCACCUUCGACGACGACUCCUACUACACCGGAGGUGCCUACUACUACGUGCUGCCCGCUGACGACGACCAGGAGUAGUUUAGGAGGAUCCCAGGCAGGAGGCCUGCACCUCUUUCGAUUUGUGUCCCAGUUUGUGCUAGCCUUCUUAAAGCAAACCUUGUUUAACUUAUGUCUGUACUCAGAUAUUGUUGCUUCCGCUGACUCGUCUAUGAUCGAGCUCUUGUAUUCGAGCCUUCGAGGCCCUGGCUUGUAAUAUGAUGCUUGUAUGACUUAUUUUAUUUGUAGAGUUGUGUUGUGAUAUCUUCCCGUGAGUCCCUGAUCUUGAUCGUACACGUUUGCAUGUAUGAUUAGUGUACGAUUGAAUCGGGGGCGUCACAAGUUGGUAUCAGAGCCGACUGCCUGUAGGAAUUCCCUUUCCACACUCCUUGGCCGAAGUUGAGUCUAGACAUUACAAAAACUUUUACUAACAUGGCUGUGUGCCUUACGGGCCCACGUCGCCAUUGGGUGGUGUUAGGAUCUUUUACUCCUCGAUCCUUACUCUGGGACACUCUGAUCUCUCUUCUAUUCGGGUUAAAUGAUUUGACUAAAAUCUAACUUUAGGUUCUCGAAAAUACUUCCUCCCGGAGAGCCCCAUUCAGGCCAGAUGAUCGACUGCUUCAACAGAAGAUUCUGACAAUACUCUCUGAUGUUCUCCCGAAACCUUAUGCCGUUGCUUUUGCAAUUCCCUACCACCGAAAUAUCCCUUUGGACAAGUAUUUAGACCUGUCGUGCUUACUUUUAUUCCCAGUCGAUCUUGUUAUUAUAAGAUACCCCGAGAAUACUUUGUGCCUACUGCCUUGCAGUUCUUUGCCACAUGCAUACCACUACGGAUAAUUACUCGCAUUUAUCGAGUAUCCGCUCAUCCCUAGAUAUUCAUGCAGUUCACAAAAUUCUUCGAAAUACCAUUCAAUCUUCCGAAAUUCUUGCUUGCUUGCAUUAUGGUUAAUCCCAUAAGUAUAGUAAUCUUAUUGGCAACCUUUGUCAAUAUCAUUUUGAGUCCAUUGACUCAAUAUGUUGCGAAUGCUCGCAAUCCUCACUCAGAUCAUAGAAUUCAUCCUUCCAGCUCAGAUGUCAUUUAAAACGUGAGCUGGUCCUCGGCCAAUCAGAUUGCCAUCGAUUGUACCCCUAAGUCUAUUCAACUUGUCCGUCCUUGAUCAGAGCGUUUGCUCCUGAUCCCUUGAUUUGAAAAUCAUAAUUCCUUUGUUAUUUAAACGUUGAAUUAUUCAGAUAUUCUGUAAAAUGAUGCAUUUGCAUUCUUUCUUCCUCUGAUUGGGUAUCGAUACUCACAUCAGCUCCAUUGUGGGUCACCAUAUCCACUGUUGGAUUAUUAUCCGACAAUGUCCUUCAUAAUUAAUCACCUUGUGAGUUCUUUCUCCGAUACAUAAUGCCUUUGGUAAUUUGUAUCCUCUCCUUUUGCCAACCAUGCUCUGCUUUCGAGCUACUAAUAUUUACUCAUGAAACUUGUGGUAUAUGUUUCUAAGAAGCCCCUAUGGGUUGAACAUAUGCCUUCUCUAAAACUGUGUGAACUCGAAAGUUUUCACGGGUCAUACUCCUCUGAUAAUUCACCAGGUAGGUUUUGACACUGAAAUCAGUUUUAUCUAGAGCAGUGAAUGAAAGGUUAUGCAUUGAAGAAGUGGGAGUCGACCUUGAACUUGUGUUCAUGCCCAUGGACAUGAUGUAUAUCCUAUCGUGGAAGCUUCUUGCAAUAAUAACUAUCCUCCUUGUUAUAAUAUCAUUUAGUAUCUGUGAAUUGAUCCUUGCAAUCGUGGUUCCGACCAUAUGUUCUUCUUUGACCCCAUUUCUCGGGCAAGUUUAAGCACUUGUCUUGUGUGGACCAAUACACCAGUCCAACCUUUACUUUGAUCUACUGUCGAGUAUUACACCCUGGUAUCUCGGGAAUAUCAUGGGACAUCAUAACUUCUUAUGGGUUCUUCAUAAACCAUUAUCACUCGCCGGAUCCAAUUGAUCCUAGGUUCUGGGUUGUCGUCAACCGAGAACAUCGAAUAAGUGAAUCGAGUCCGCACUCUGAUUCAAUAACUCUUAAGUAAAUGUUGUUGCUUACGAGUUAAUAUUCAUUUAAGUCAUUCCUAGCCUGAUCGGCUAUAUCAUCAUUGUGCUAAAUUUUAACUGUGCUACCUGGUCCUUCACGGAGCACAAUUCUCGACGAUGAGCUAAGCUUACGUCGAUUUUCCUCAUCAUAUCAUUUCUCCCUGAACAGCAAACUUGAUUUCGAGUUUGUGUCAUACCCAUGGUUCCAAUAACCAUUCGCUUCAUCAUUCCUUUCACUUGAUGUCAUCGCCGAUCGAUUACAUCUUCGUGGAGCCUCUCGACUAAAUUUGUCGUGGUCAUCAAACAACAUUUUGAUUCCUUCUAGGAUAUCAACCAAAUGUAUAAUGACAUGUAACCAUCCUUGUCCCUCGAUGAUUUGUGUUAUCACCGACAACAUUAUUGCUUUCCCUCCAACACAAACUUGUUCGUGUUUUGUGUUAUACCUGGAGACCCGUGCUAUCCAACAAUUAUUCUUCGAUACCUUGGAGUAUUACCAUCUUUUAUGUCAAGAAUGUCGUGAGAAUUUCACCACCUCCUAAGAAUUCUUGAUACAGGUAAUACUUAUCACCAUCGCCAUUCUUUCUUGGUCCCCGUGUUGGAUCUAACCGGGAUACCAACAGGUGAACGGUGCUGUUUGAAUUCUGACCCUUACUUGAUGACCAUGUCAAUGCUAUCUCGAAGCAUGUCUGUGGUACUCUGAUUUUCAACAAGAACAUUUGAAGCCCAAUGCUAAUGUUUCUUCCUCAAUUAUCCAAACACCGUUGUAUGGGUAAUGUCAUGAAGUUUCUCUCCCCUUACCUAAAAGGUUUUCUACCUUAUAUCCUGUCAUGGAUAUCAUACCCUACUUGACCGUGGGAAGGAUAUACCCCUGAAAUAUGUGUUUAAACACAUUUUCCUUUCCAUUGUUCUAUUUAAUCUGAUAAUCAUAUUUUCCUUUACAUUUGUUGGGUUAACGUUUCUUGUGAUCUAUAUGAGCUAAGCAGUAAUAAUUCACUGCUUAUGGAAGCACCUCGGUGUACAACUCUGUCAGCGAGACCCUGUUUCUACUGUUGAUGACUUCCGGUAACCAUCGAUGGACGAGAACUUUCCCUAUUGGUCCGCCUCGUUUCAACGAGCAGGAAAAUGGUUCUCUUCGUUCCUCGCCCUUGGUACCGAUGUUGUUGCCGACAUAACUGACAGGCUAUCCUUUGACAUGCCUUGCCACCCUAACCGUGCGAGAUGUCAGCGCCCUUCCUUCUUUUAACCCACAUGGUGGGCCCAUAACCCACAAUUCCACAGGAUCGAAACCUGACUCUCCUGUACCAACCUGUUUCUAAUGGUUAUUCUCCAUGCUUGGCUUCGUAUUUAAUUCAUGGGCCACCUUCCUAGUGCUCUAUUUUGAUAUCAGACGCAAUACUUACUCUCGCUACUCUGAACCCCUUUCUCACUCUGGUUCAGGCUUCGAGCAACUAUCUAUCCGCUUGGAACCUCUUAUUGUACCUUCGUACCUUACUCUCGAUGAAUUUCAUAUGUUCAACUCGAGAGAUAAUCCUAUGCUCAUUCAUGGGUUAACCCCAGAUUGUUUCCCUCAAAAGCAUUCUGUCGUAGCUGAGCUGCCCCUUAUCCUUUCGUAAGUACGGUGGAGUUCCCGAAGAAAUGACGACAAGUUUAUCAUGAUGCAUUGGAAUAAAGAAUUGAAGACAUCAACGAAAAGGAUUAACUUCUUCGAGAAGAUCCGUUAGAAUAUCGUAACCAGAACUUUCCCCCUUACUCCCCUCUUAAAUCUUGGGACGAGAUUUCUUGUAGUGGAGGAGAAUUGUGAUGCCCGGAUAAUUAAGCUACAGUGAUCCCUCGCUAAGGAUGCCACGUCACCUCGGUUAGUGUGGAUAAACUCGUGUCUGUUUGAAACCCAGUUAAAAUUUAAAACAAAGGCAAGCAAAUAAAAGUUUUCAAAUAUUAAAACCAAAUUGUUAUGGUAGUGGCAAAUAAUGCAUAAGUAGUAAUGGUGGAGAAACCAACAUUUUUAAAAGUGUUUGAAUGCUCUAAAAUAAAUAAAAAAACAGCAAACGAAUUAAUUGAAUGCCUUUUAUAAUUAUUAAAAUGUUAAACUAUUUUAAUUGGAGGUCUAAACUUUUUGUAGUAGAGGUAUAAUUAGUGGUACUAAUUUAGGUUCAACCUUUAUGAUUUAUAAAACUAAAAUAAAAUGAAACAAAAGGGUAAUAAUAAAUAAUAGGAAAAAAGACAGCAGUAAACAAAAAGAAAAGACUAAACAGAAUUUUUUUUAAAAAAAAGAGAGAGAGCACCCCUCGGGCCUGGCCAUUCGAACCGGCCCAGCUAAGCCGGCCCACUCCCCCUCCCCGGUCGCUUCCUGUUCCACCGACCGGGCAGGACCGUGCGCGCCCGUCGCCGUCCAGCCACCUCGCCGGCGACGCCCGACGAGGGGAUAAGAGCUGCGCUGGACCUCCCCGCUCGCCAAAAUAUCUACCACUCCCCCCGCUUGCUCUCUUCUCCCCUCCCUGGUCCUCUCCGCCUCACCCCCCCCUCGCCAGAUCCAUCCCCGCCGAGCGCCGCCAUGGGCUCGCUCCGGUGAAGCUCGCGACCACCGGCCACUUCUCCCUCACCGUCGCGUCCACGACGACCGCCAUCGCCCGCUGCGUCCACUACGGAGACGAAGACCUGCCGGAACCCCCACCUUCGCCGGAUUCGCGUCGCCCUCGUCCGCUUCGGUCAUCGACCAUCUCCGUCAACUCCGACCGCCCCGCAGCUACUAAUCCGUCACCGGGCCCCCAUGCGCCCACACGGUGAGCUCCCGC